rnacentral:rRNA from 1 species
GAGAUUGGAAUUCCUGGUGUAGCGGUGGAAUGCGCAGAUAUCAGGAGGAACACCGAUGGCGAAGGCAGAUCUCUGGGCCGUAACUGACGCUGAGGAGCGAAAGGGUGGGGAGCAAACAGGCUUAGAUACCCUGGUAGUCCACCCCGUAAACGUUGGGAACUAGUUGUGGGGUCCAUUCCACGGAUUCCGUGACGCAGCUAACGCAUUAAGUUCCCCGCCUGGGGAGUACGGCCGCAAGGCUAAAACUCAAAGGAAUUGACGGGGACCCGCACAAGCGGCGGAGCAUGCGGAUUAAUUCGAUGCAACGCGAAGAACCUUACCAAGGCUUGACAUACACGAGAACGCUGCAGAAAUGUAGAACUCUUUGGACACUCGUGAACAGGUGGUGCAUGGUUGUCGUCAGCUCGUGUCGUGAGAUGUUGGGUUAAGUCCCGCAACGAGCGCAACCCUCGUUCUAUGUUGCCAGCACGUAAUGGUGGGAACUCAUGGGAUACUGCCGGGGUCAACUCGGAGGAAGGUGGGGAUGACGUCAAAUCAUCAUGCCCCUUAUGUCUUGGGCUUCACGCAUGCUACAAUGGCCGGUACAAAGGGCUGCAAUACCGUGAGGUGGAGCGAAUCCCAAAAAGCCGGUCCCAGUUCGGAUUGAGGUCUGCAACUCGACCUCAUGAAGUCGGAGUCGCUAGUAAUCGCAGAUCAGCAACGCUGCGGUGAAUACGUUCCCGGGUCUUGUACACACCGCCCGUCAAGUCAUGAAAGUCGGUAACACCUGAAGCCGG